rnacentral:miRNA from 1 species
UUUAACUAUACGGACCUUUGUUGGCAAGGUGAUGUCUUAAAAAGGAGAGACAUCACCUUGCCAACAAAGGUCCGUACAGUGGUA